UACGUAGGGGGCAAGCGUUGUCCGGAAUCAUUGGGCGUAAAGAGCGCGUAGGCGGUCCGGUAAGUCCGCUCUGAAAGUCCGGGGCUCAACCCCGGGAGGCGGGCGGAUACUGCCGGGCUAGAGUCCGGAAGAGGCGAGUGGAAUUCCUGGUGUAGCGGUGAAAUGCGCAGAUAUCAGGAGGAACGCCGAUGGCGAAGGCAGCUCGCUGGGACGGUACUGACGCUGAGGCGCGAAAGCGUGGGGAGCGAACAGG
rnacentral:rRNA from 1 species